rnacentral:rRNA from 1 species
AAUAGGGGAGCCGGAGGGAAACCGAGUCUUAAUUGGGCGUUAAGUUGCAGGGUAUAGACCCGAAACCCGGUGAUCUAGCCAUGGGCAGGUUGAAGGUUGGGUAACACUAACUGGAGGACCGAACCGACUAAUGUUGAAAAAUUAGCGGAUGACCUGUGGCUGGGGGUGAAAGGCCAAUCAAACCGGGAGAUAGCUGGUUCUCCCCGAAAGCUAUUUAGGUAGCGCCUCGUGAAUUCAUCUCCGGGGGUAGAGCACUGUUUCGGCUAGGGGGCCAUCCCGGCUUACCAACCCGAUGCAAACUGCGAAUACCGGAGAAUGUUAUCACGGGAGACACACGGCGGGUGCUAACGUCCGUCGUGAAGAGGGAAACAACCCAGACCGCCAGCUAAGGUCCCAAAGUCAUGGUUAAGUGGGAAACGAUGUGGGAAGGCCCAGACAGCCAGGAUGUUGGCUUAGAAGCAGCCAUCAUUUAAAGAAAGCGUAAUAGCUCACUGGUCGAGUCGGCCUGCGCGGAAGAUGUAACGGGGCUAAACCAUGCACCGAAGCUGCGGCAGCGACGCUGAUGCGUUGUUGGGUAGGGGAGCGUUCUGUAAGCCUG